GAUGAACGCUGGCGGCGUGCUUAACACAUGCAAGUCGAACGGAAAGGCUCCUGCUUGCAGGGGUGCUCGAGUGGCGAACGGGUGAGUAACACGUGGGUGAUCUGCCCUGCACUUCGGGAUAAGCCUGGGAAACUGGGUCUAAUACCGGAUAGGACGAUGGUUUGGAUGCCAUUGUGGAAAGUUUUUCGGUGUGGGAUGAGCUCGCGGCCUAUCAGCUUGUUGGUGGGGUAAUGGCCUACCAAGGCGUCGACGGGUAGCCGGCCUGAGAGGGUGUACGGCCACAUUGGGACUGAGAUACGGCCCAGACUCCUACGGGAGGCAGCAGUGGGGAAUAUUGCACAAUGGGCGCAAGCCUGAUGCAGCGACGCCGCGUGGGGGAUGACGGCCUUCGGGUUGUAAACUCCUUUCGCUAGGGACGAAGCGCAAGUGACGGUACCUGGAGAAGAAGCACCGGCUAACUACGUG
rnacentral:rRNA from 1 species